rnacentral:rRNA from 1 species
AUGAACGCUGGCGGCGUGCCUAACACAUGCAAGUCGAGCGAGGGUUUGCUCAGUAUUGAGUAUUCUAAAACUAGAAUGUUCAAUUCUGAGCAAAACCAAGCGGCGGACGGGUGAGUAACGCGUGGGUAACCUGCCCUAUACACAUGGAUAACAUACUGAAAAGUUUACUAAUACAUGAUAAUAUAUAUUUGCGGCAUCGCAGAUAUAUCAAAGUGUUAGCGGUAUAGGAUGGACCCGCGUCUGAUUAGCUAGUUGGUGAGAUAACUGCCCACCAAGGCGACGAUCAGUAGCCGACCUGAGAGGGUGAUCGGCCACAUUGGAACUGAGACACGGUCCAAACUCCUACGGGAGGCAGCAGUGGGGAAUAUUGCACAAUGGGCGAAAGCCUGAUGCAGCAACGCCGCGUGAACGAUGAAGGUCUUCGGAUCGUAAAGUUCUGUUGCAGGGGAAGAUAAUGACGGUACCCUGUGAGGAAGCCCCGGCUAACUACGUGCCAGCAGCCGCGGUAAUACGUAGGGGGCUAGCGUUAUCCGGAUUUACUGGGCGUAAAGGGUGCGUAGGUGGUCCUUCAAGUCGGUGGUUAAAGGCUACGGCUCAACCGUAGUAAGCCGCCGAAACUGGAGGACUUGAGUGCAGGAGAGGAAAGUGGAAUUCCCAGUGUAGCGGUGAAAUGCGUAGAUAUUGGGAGGAACACCAGUAGCGAAGGCGGCUUUCUGGACUGCAACUGACACUGAGGCACGAAAGCGUGGGUAGCAAACAGGAUUAGAUACCCUGGUAGUCCACGCUGUAAACGAUGAGUACUAGGUGUCGGGGGUUACCCCCCUCGGUGCCGCAGCUAACGCAUUAAGUACUCCGCCUGGGGAGUACGCACGCAAGUGUGAAACUCAAAGGAAUUGACGGGGACCCGCACAAGCAGCGGAGCAUGUGGUUUAAUUCGAAGCAACGCGAAGAACCUUACCUAAGCUUGACAUCCCUCGGACAGGUGUUUAAUCACACCCUUCCUUCGGGACU